GACGGAAGGUGCAAGCGUUGCUCGGAAUCACUGGGCGUAAAGGGUGCGUAGGCGGCCGUGCAAGUCUGGCGUGAAAGCCCCGGGCUCAGCCCGGGAAGUGCGCUCGAAACUGCGCGGCUCGAGUGCCGGAGGGGAGAGUGGAAUUCCUGGUGUAGCGGUGAAAUGCGUAGAUAUCCGGAGGAAUACCAGAGGCGAAGGCGGGUCUCUGGGCCGAGUACUGACGCUGAGGAGCGAAAGCGUGGGGAGCGAACAGG
rnacentral:rRNA from 1 species